UACGGAGGAUCCAAGCGUUAUCCGGAUUUAUUGGGUUUAAAGGGUGCGUAGGCGGUUCUAUAAGUCAGUGGUGAAAUCCGGCAGCUCAACUGUCGAUGUGCCAUUGAUACUGCAGAACUUGAGUACAGACGAGGUAGGCGGAAUUGACGGUGUAGCGGUGAAAUGCUUAGAUAUCGUCAAGAACACCGAUAGCGAAGGCAGCUUACUAGACUGUAACUGACGCUGAUGCACGAAAGUGUGGGGAUCAAACAGG
rnacentral:rRNA from 1 species